UUGUAGCCUGCUAUGGUAUAACUUAGUGGCAGACGGGUGAGUAAUAUAUAGGAAUCUACCUAGUAGUACGGAAUAAUUGUUGGAAACGGCAACUAAUACCGUAUACGCCCUACGGGGGAAAAAUUUAUUGCUAUUAGAUGAGCCUAUAUUAGAUUAGCUAGUUGGUGGAGUAAUAGCCUACCAAGGCAAUGAUCUAUAGCUGAUCUGAGAGGAUGAUCAGCCACACUGGAACUGAGAUACGGUCCAGACUCCUACGGGAGGCAGCAGUGGGGAAUAUUGGACAAUGGGCGAAAGCCUGAUCCAGCCAUGCCGCAUGAGUGAAGAAGGCCUUUGGGUUGUAAAGCUCUUUUAGUGAGGAAGAUAAUGACGGUACUCACAGAAGAAGUCCUGGCUAACUCCGUGCCAGCAGCCGCGGUAAUACGGAGAGGGCUAGCGUUAUUCGGAAUUAUUGGGCGUAAAGGGCGCGUAGGCUGGUUAGUAAGUUAAAAGUGAAAUCCCGAGGCUUAACCUUGGAACUGCUUUUAAAACUUCUAACCUAGAGAUUGAAAGAGGAUAGAGGAAUUCCUAGUGUAGAGGUGAAAUUCGUAAAUAUUAGGAGGAACACCAGUGGCGAAGGCGUCUAUCUGGUUCAAAUCUGACGCUGAGGCGCGAAGGCGUGGGGAGCAAACAGGAUUAGAUACCCUGGUAGUCCACGCUGUAAACGAUGAAUGUUAAAUAUGGGAAGUUUACUUUCUGUAUUACAGCUAACGCGUUAAACAUUCCGCCUGGGGACUACGGUCGCAAGAUUAAAACUCAAAGGAAUUGACGGGGACCCGCACAAGCGGUGGAGCAUGUGGUUUAAUUCGAUGCAACGCGAAAAACCUUACCACUCCUUGACAUGAAAAUCAUACCUAUUC
rnacentral:rRNA from 1 species